CUCAAUGUAAAUAUUACAAUAUAAAUAGCUACACGUAUGAGAAGUUAAAACAAUGAUAAAGAUAGACUAAGUCUAUACAUAUCUAUACAUAACAGUGGCUAACAAUAAAGAAUAAUAAUUAAUCUAGCCUAACUAACAAAAUAUAUUUAUCAUAUACAACAACUGAGAGAUAAUAACAUAGACUAUGUCAACUCUUAUCUCCAACAGUAAUUAUAAAAUGAUUUAAAAACUAAUUUUAAAUAAGAUUUUUAAAGUGACUCUUAUGUAAUUUAAUUGAAAUUUACAUUUGUUUUUUUAUUUAACUAAUUUAUAUUUAAUUGUAACAGUGCACCUUCAAAAAAAUUAUGUGCCUGCUAUUGCAAUU
rnacentral:lncRNA from 1 species